GAUUGGGUCCCGCGCGGACAACACCUGUGAACCCCGUCAGGCCCGGAAGGGAGCAGCGGUAAGCGG
rnacentral:SRP_RNA from 1 species